rnacentral:rRNA from 1 species
UUCGGGGGUACACGAGUGGCGCACGGGUGAGUAACGCGUAUGCAACCUGCCCUGUACAGGGGGAUAGCCCGGAGAAAUCCGGAUUAAUACCCCAUAGUUUUUAUGAGUCGCAUGGCUUAUAAAAUAAAGUUUCGGCGGUACAGGAUGGGCAUGCGUGGCAUUAGCUAGUUGGUAAGGUAACGGCUUACCAAGGCGACGAUGCCUAGGGGUUCUGAGAGGAUGAUCCCCCACACUGGGACUGAGACACGGCCCAGACUCCUACGGGAGGCAGCAGUGAGGAAUAUUGGUCAAUGGGCGAGAGCCUGAACCAGCCAUCCCGCGUGCAGGAUGACGGCCCUACGGGUUGUAAACUGCUUUUAUGUACCAAGAAUGUGUUCUACGUGUAGGAUUUUGACGGUAGUACAUGAAUAAGCAUCGGCUAACUCCGUGCCAGCAGCCGCGGUAAUACGGAGGAUGCAAGCGUUAUCCGGAUUCAUUGGGUUUAAAGGGUGCGUAGGCGGCUAUAUAAGUCAGUGGUGAAAUGCUGCAGCUCAACUGUAGAACUGCCAUUGAAACUGUAUAGCUUGAGUGCGCCUGAGGUAGGCGGAAUGAGUAGUGUAGCGGUGAAAUGCUUAGAUAUUACUCAGAACACCGAUUGCGAAGGCAGCUUACUAAAGCGUAACUGACGCUGAUGCACGAAAGCGUGGGGAGCGAACAGGAUUAGAUACCCUGGUAGUCCACGCCGUAAACGAUGAUAACUCGCUGUUGGCGAUACACAGUCAGCGGCUUAGCGAAAGCAUUAAGUUAUCCACCUGGGGGAGUACGAUCGCAAGGUUGAAACUCAAAGGAAUUGACGGGGGGCCCGCACAAGCGGAGGAACAUGUGGUUUAAUUCGAUGAUACGCGAGGAACCUU